UUACGGCCAAAUCAUUUUGAAACACCGGUUCCCGUACGAUCACUAACAUUAAGCAACAUUAAUCUUGGUCAGUAUCUUGAUGGGUGACCACUUGAGAAUACCAGGUGCUGUAAG